rnacentral:rRNA from 1 species
AGCUUAACACAUGCAAGUCGAGCGCCGUAGCAAUACGGAGCGGCAGACGGGUGAGUAACGCGUGGGAACGUGCCUUUCGGUUCGGAACAACUGAGGGAAACUUCAGCUAAAACCGGAUACGCCCUUCGGGGGAAAGUUUACGCCGAAAGAUCGGCCCGCGUCAGAUUAGGUAGUUGGUGGGGUAAUGGCCUACCAAGCCGACGAUCUGUAGCUGUUCUGAGAGGAAGAUCAGCCACAUUGGGACUGAGACACGGCCCAAACUCCUACGGGAGGCAGCAGUGGGGAAUAUUGGACAAUGGGCGCAAGCCUGAUCCAGCUAUGCCGCGUGGAUGAAGAAGGCCUUCGGGUUGUAAAGUCC